UGAGGAAUAUUGGACAAUGGGCGAAAGCCUGAUCCAGCCAUGCCGCGUGAGUGAAGAAGGCCCUAGGGUUGUAAAGCUCUUUCAGUGGGGAAGAUAAUGACGGUACCCACAGAAGAAGCCCCGGCUAACUUCGUGCCAGCAGCCGCGGUAAUACGAAGGGGGCUAGCGUUGUUCGGAAUUACUGGGCGUAAAGCGCACGUAGGCGGAUCGUUAAGUCGGGGGUGAAAUCCUGGGGCUCAACCUCAGAACUGCCUUCGAUACUGGCGAUCUCGAGUCCGGGAGAGGUGAGUGGAAUUCCGAGUGUAGAGGUGAAAUUCGUAGAUAUUCGGAGGAACACCAGUGGCGAAGGCGGCUCACUGGCCCGGUACUGACGCUGAGGUGCGAAAGCGUGGGGAGCAAACA
rnacentral:rRNA from 1 species